UGGGGAAUAUUGGACAAUGGGCGCAAGCCUGAUCCAGCCAUGCCGCGUGAGUGAUGAAGGCCUUAGGGUUGUAAAGCUCUUUCACCGAUGAAGAUAAUGACGGUAGUCGGAGAAGAAGCCCCGGCUAACUUCGUGCCAGCAGCCGCGGUAAUACGAAGGGGGCUAGCGUUGUUCGGAAUUACUGGGCGUAAAGCGCACGUAGGCGGAUAUUUAAGUCAGGGGUGAAAUCCCGCAGCUCAACUGCGGAACUGCCUUUGAUACUGGGUAUCUUGAGUAUGGAAGAGGUUAGUGGAAUUGCGAGUGUAGAGGUGAAAUUCGUAGAUAUUCGCAGGAACACCAGUGGCGAAGGCGGCUAACUGGUCCAUAACUGACGCUGAGGUGCGAAAGCGUGGGGAGCAAACAGG
rnacentral:rRNA from 1 species